UUGUGGUAUUGAUUGAGGUAAGUGCCAGUUUUUGAAUCAAGUCUCUAGGUGUUGUAGGAAAGGAGUUAUGGGGAUUUUUGUAAAGUCAUUUGUGAAAUUUUUUCGUGGGGGGAACAAAGAUAAAAGUUGAUUUUUCUCGAAAAGUAUUGAUUUUUAGAAUUUUUUUAUUGAUUAUUAAAAGUUGUGGUAUUGAUUGAGGUAAGUGUCGGUUUUUGAAUCAAGUCUCUAGGUGUUGUAGAAAAAAAGUUAUGGGGAUUUUUGGAAAGUCAUUUGUAAAAUUUUCGUGGGGGGAACGAACAUAAAAGUUGAUUUUUCUCGGAAAGUAUUGAUUUUUAGGUUUUUUUUUAUUGAUUAUUAAAAGUUGCGGUAUUGAUUGAGGUAAGUGCCAGUUUUUGAAUCAAGUCUCUAGGUGUUGUAGGAAAGGAGUUAUGGGGAUUUUUGGCGAGUCACUUGUAAAAUUUUCGUGGAGGGAACAGAGAUAAAAGUAGAUUUUUCUCGGAAAGUAUUGAUUUUUAGGAUUUUUUUAUUGAUUAUUAAAAAUUGCAUUAUUGAUUGAGGUAAGUGUCGGUUUUUGAAUCAAGUCUCUAGGUAUUGUAGAAAAGGAGUUAUGGGGAUUUUUGGAAAGUCAAUUGUAAAAUUUUCGUGGGGGGAACGAACAUAAAAGUUGAUUUUUCUCGGAAAGUAUUGAUUUUUAGGUUUUUUUUAUUGAUUAUUAAAAGUUGCGGUAUUGAUUGAGGUAAGUGCCGGUUUUUGAAUCAAGUCUCUAGGUGUUGUAGGAAAGAAGUUAUGGGGAUUAUUGGAAAUUGAAACGUGAAAAUGACACCAAAAGAGAUAAAUGUUGAUUGAGUAGCUCUAUCGAUUUCUCUUUCUUUGUUAGAUCUAAAAGAGAGAGAGAGAGAGAGAAAAUAGACAAUAACUCAAUUGCCUGUAAGAAUCAUUCUAUUUCUCUCAGACAGUUGAUUGCACUUUCUGAUAUAGAGAGAGAAAGAGAAAAUAUAAUAUGCCCUAACUCAACUACUGCCUGGAAGAACCAUUUAUCAUUAUUUUUGUUUUAUAAAUGUAAAACAUAAUUUAUCUCCUUCUGAUCCUCUCAUUUCUCACUCGCCGCCUCUCUCGCUCAUAUUUUUUGUUCGUCUUCUCACGCUUUAAGAAAUAAUAAGAAAACUCUUUUUCUUAUGGAGAUUUCCCUGUAAUCUGUUCUUCCCGACCAUUGAAACUCAUCGGAGGAAGAUCUGAAUGGUUUGCAGACGAUACUGCUUUACCCAGACCUGUUGUCUUUUUAUUUCCGACGUUCCUGUACUAUGUUCAUCUUCAGGGUCGAUGAAAUAAAGCAUGAAAAUUGCACCAAAAAGAUAAAUGUUGAUUUUUCUCAGAAACUAUUGAUUUUUCAAUUUUUUUUUAUUGAUGCAUAAAAGUUUCUGUCUUGAUUGGAGCACGUGCUAAUUUUCGAAUCAAGUCUCUAUCUCUAAUAGCAAAGAAGUUAUGAGGUUUAUUGGAAAUUGAAACAUGAAAAUUGCACUAAAAAAAUAAAUGUUGAUUUUUCUCAGAAACUAUUGAUUUCUCAAUUUUUUUUAUUGAUGCAUAAAAGUUUCUGUAUUGAUUGGAGCACGUGUCAGUUUUUGAAUCAAGUCUCUAUCUCUAAUAGCAAAGAAGUUAUGAGGUUUAUUGGAAAUUGAAACAUGAAAAUUGCACCAAAAAGAUAAAUGUUGAUUUUUC